GGUUCUGUAGUGUAGAGGUUAUCACAUUCGGUUCUGAUUCAGCAUAAUUGGAGGUCUCCGAAUAACCCCGGUUCGAGUCCGGGCAGGACCU
rnacentral:tRNA from 1 species